GUGCUUGGGCGGGAAGUGGGUGGUGAGGGCCGCUCUGGGCUCAGCGUUCCCCACCUGGAAUGCGUCCUGGCUUCGGCUGGCCCGGCCCAACCCUCAGCGGCCGCGGUGCCCAGGCCCACUCCUUCCGCGCCUGGAAACGUGAGACGGGUCACUGAGGACGACGUAGGCAAACUUUGCAGAGCACGUUGCCACCUGUUGGAGUAGCCGCUCCAGCCCCAGUCGAAAUGCACGGCCGAACAAUGGCAGUUCUGAGUGGCUCAGGGGCCCACACUUUCUUUAAAACCGAUGCACUCGUAGUAAUAUUUCUUAUGCCCCACAUCCAGAGGCCUGUGCUCACCACCUCAGCAGUGCCCGGGGAGGUUCGCCAGGCGUGGGCAGGCUCUCCCUUGAAAGCACCUGACCUGGUUCUACCUUGCACUGGGGCUGAAUGUUUCACAAGAAAAGGGAACAGGACUGGACCGCUGGCUGUUCCUUCUUUGAUCCCAGGCAUGAUUUCAGCUUGUAGAAUAAAUGAGAAAUGCCUGUUGGUUUAAUUAAAAGAACCGCAUUGGCUGUGCUAGCCUGCCUGCCUUCUGGUGCCCAAGCAAGUGUACUGAUAAAGGAAUCAAAAGCUGCACACUCAAUUGUCCCAGGGUUUUCUCAUCUAUCUUGACAGCUUUUGAGAAUAUAAGUCAAUUUCUCAAAAGCGGUUUAUUGUAAGCCUUGAAAUAUCCAGUUUCCUACCUGGUACCUUAAAUCAUUACUUUUUCCGUAGGGAUAACUGGUGAACUAUCUCCAAAAUAUAUCCUUCUUGUCCGUUGACUCAGAUAGCUCAUUGGGAAGAAGCCAGCUGUCUCCUCUGGGAUGCUGGCUGGCCUUUGAGGUGGGCCCUGGAGCUACUGCCUGGGGAUCAAUGUACUACCACAACACAGACUAAAUUCCUGGUCCCUUGGGAUAUACCUCCAGUGUAAGACCUCCAGGAAGGACUCCUGCUAGGCCCAAUCACAGAGACUAGUAGGUGUGGUCAGAAAGCCCGGGGCACAGCCUGAUUGGUCAUUGUACAGGCGCGUUACCACUAAGGCUGAGCUUUAGGAGAAGAGCAAGACAAUAUCAAUGGCUAGUGGGGUUCACAUGAAGGCAAGACAUGGACAGCUGCUCCUUCAUCCGUGUUUUUAUCCCCAAGGAACAGCUUUGUGAAAGUGCUCUGUGCUCUCAAGCUGUUGCCAGCAGGGUCUGUCUCUUCAGCGUGGCUUUUAAGAGGAAAGUGCAGCAAACUGGAGCCUUAGCAAAAGGCUGCUCGCUAGCAUGAGAAGCAUUUGAUUCCAGCUUGGAAACAAGGGGUGGGGCAAAGCCUUUUUACCACCUCCACCCCAUCUCUCCCUCUCUCCCUUUCAGAAAGGCAGAUUUAUCUAGUGGUGCAUCCCUUGCCUUCAUGUCAGAGUGUCAGCUUUGUCAUAUUCCUGACUGUUGUUACUAGAAUUUUUUUAAGAUUUAUUUAUUUUAAGAUGUAUUUAUAGAUACUUUUUGCCUGCACACAUAUCUCUGUGGGGGUGCUCUGGAACUAGAGUAUGUGGGUUGUGGGAAUUGAACCCCAGUCCUCUGGAGGAGCAGCCAGUGUUCUUAAUCACUGAGCCAUCUCUCCAGUCCCAAUUACUGGAAUUUCAUAUGAAAGCAAAACCACGGCAUAAAUCUUAGCAAAUUUGAAUUCCAUACUUUUUACCUUUUUCCAUUCACCAGAGAUGAGAUGCAGGUAUAUUCACGUUAAAACAAAAAUGCAAACAAGUCAGAUAAUUAAAAGGAAAUCCAGAUGAUGCUCUCAAACCUGAAGAAACACUUGUGGAGCCAGAUGGAAGCAGAGUAGAGUUGGACUCUGUCACCAUCCCAAGGGAACGAAGCAUCAUGGGCUCUGAUUUGUUCACUUGUUUCUUUAUGUGCGUAUGUACAGGAAUGUAUACUUGUGCUUGCAUGGAAGUCAGAAGAGAGCAUCCUGUCUCCCUCUCCAUCACUGUCUUCUUCCUCUGAGCCAGGGUCUGUCCCUCAACCCAAGGCUCUUGGUCUUCUUGGUUAGGCUAGAAGGCAGCAAGUCCCAGCAAUCCCCCAGUCUCCGGCCCCUUAAUGGAUCAGUCUGGGGGUGUAGAGUGUCUGUGGGAUCCAAACUUGAGAUCGUAGCAAGCGAUCUUAACUGUUGAGCCCUCUUUCCAACUGCUCCCUGUCUUGACAGCAAGAAAAAUCCCAACAUAUACUCUGAGGUCAUGUUGGAACCAUGUGUUUGGAGACAGCAGAGGUUUGGGACAAUCUUUCCAAUCAGGAUGACUCACAGCUGUGAUCAGGGCUUUCUCUUUUAUCAGCUAUACUAUCAGAAAAGAAGACCCUUGUGAGCACAGUGUCUGCCUCAAGCUCUUCAUCUUUUCCACUGUUACAAAAUCUCUGGGGGAGGAUUACACACAGGAUCAUGAGUCCUGUGUAUGAAAUUAUGAUGACUUAUGAAUGAUUACAUUCAUCACAAUUACUGUGAAUAAAAAAUGUUAUGUUUUAAAGGAACACUGGGGAAAUUAUGAAAAGUGAAUUAAGCCAAGAACAAAAGGACAAAUCCAUAUUGCCUGAUUUGUUUUAUAUGAGGUGC
rnacentral:lncRNA from 1 species